rnacentral:rRNA from 1 species
UACGAAGGGGGCUAGCGUUGCUCGGAAUUACUGGGCGUAAAGCGCACGUAGGCGGUCUUUUAAGUCGGGGGUGAAAUCCUGGAGCUCAACUCCAGAACUGCCUUCGAUACUGGAAGACUUGAGUCCGGGAGAGGUGAGUGGAACUGCGAGUGUAGAGGUGAAAUUCGUAGAUAUUCGCAAGAACACCAGUGGCGAAGGCGGACUCACUGGCCCGGUA